rnacentral:rRNA from 1 species
GAACGGGUGAGUACACGUGGGUGAUCUGCCCUGCACUUUGGGAUAAGCCUGGGAAACUGGGUCUAAUACCGAAUAGGACCACGCGCUUCAUGGUGUGUGGUGGAAAGCUUUUGCGGUGUGGGAUGNNNCCGCGGCCUAUCAGCUUGUUGGUGGGGUAAUGGCCUACCAAGGCGACGACGGGUAGCCGGCCUGAGAGGGUGACCGGCCACACUGGGACUGAGAUACGGCCCAGACUCCUACGGGAGGCAGCAGUGGGGAAUAUUGCACAAUGGGCGCAAGCCUGAUGCAGCGACGCCGCGUGAGGGAUGACGGCCUUCGGGUUGUAAACCUCUUUCAAUAGGGACGAAGCGCAAGUGACGGUACCUAUAGAAGAAGCACCGGCCAACUACGUGCCAGCAGCCGCGGUAAUACGUAGGGUGCGAGCGUUGUCCGGAAUUACUGGGCGUAAAGAGCUCGUAGGUGGUUUGUCGCGUUGUUCGUGAAAACUCACAGCUUAACUGUGGGCGUGCGGGCGAUACGGGCAGACUAGAGUACUGCAGGGGAGACUGGAAUCCCUGGUGUAGCGGUGGAAUGCGCAGAUAUCAGGAGGAACACCGGUGGCGAAGGCGGGUCUCUGGGCAGUAACUGACGCUGAGGAGCGAAAGCGUGGGGAGCGAACAGGAUUAGAUACCCUGGUAGUCCACGCCGUAAACGGUGGGUACUAGGUGUGGGUUCCUUCCUUGGGAU